rnacentral:rRNA from 1 species
GCUUGUCUCAAAGAUUAAGCCAUGCAUGUCUAAGUAUAAACGAUUUUAUACGUGAAACUGCGAAUGGCUCAUUAUAUCAGUUAUAGUUUAUUUGAUGGUCCUUACUAUUUGGAUAACCGUAGUAAUUCUAGAGCUAAUACAUGCACAAAAUCCCGACUUACGAAGGGAUGUAUUUAUUAGAUACAAACCAACAUCGUGGUGAUUCAUAAUAACUUUCGGAUCGAUUUAUCGAUGCAUCAUUCAAGUUUCUGCCCUAUCAGCUUUGGAUGGUAGGGUAUUGGCCUACCAUGGCUUUAACGGGUAACGGAGAAUUAGGGUUCGAUUCCGGAGAGGGAGCCUGAGAAAUGGCUACCACAUCCAAGGAAGGCAGCAGG